CAGUCGCCGCGGGAAUACGGAGGGAGCUAGCGUUGUUCGGAAUUACUGGGCGUAAAGCGCGCGUAGGCGGUUACUCAAGUCAGAGGUGAAAGCCCGGGGCUCAACCCCGGAACUGCCUUUGAUACUGGAAGUCUUGAGUAUGGUAGAGGUGAGUGGAAUUCCGAGUGUAGAGGUGAAAUUCGUAGAUAUUCGGAGGAACACCAGUGGCGAAGGCGGCUCACUGGACCAUUACUGACGCUGAGGUGCGAAAGCGUGGGGAGCAAACAGGAUUAGAUACCCCGGUAGUCCCUGUCUCUUAUAC
rnacentral:rRNA from 1 species